UGGGCAUUAUUACCGGCUGUUUGCAGGAAAGGAAACUGAGGAUCAGACAGGUCAAACAAUUUGCCCAAGGUCACCAGCUGGCCAAGGGGGAAACCAACUUUUCAUACGGAGGUCUCCAGUUUCCAAGUCACAAGCUCUUGCCACCACCUCGGAACACCCACGUGUCAAGUUGUCUCAACUUACCAUAAAUUUUUAAGGCAACCUCAACUUCUCACUGUCUCACGGCAGGUACCUGAUAAAUCAUUCUAUAUCGUCUGCGGAACGGGGAGGAUUUAUUGGCUCGUGCCAGGCCCAGGAAAUGCCAUCUUUGAAAGCCGAGCGGCGGAUUCGUCCAGAAGUGGAGAAGGUCUGGCCGCCGCACUUGGCCUGCAUCCCGUGAGCUGUGCGCCCCCUCUGCGGCCGCAGUCCCGACGGCGCUAGGCCCUCGGGGUCGCCAGCCGCGUCCGCCCCAGCCCGGGUCGGAACGCACGCCCACGCCCCACCGCCGCCGCCGCCGCCGCGUCCCGGCCGCCAGUCCCGACCGAGCCCCACCCCGCCUGGCUUGUCCCUCCCGCUCCCGGGGCCGGCCCCGCCAGGUGAGCGCUACCGGGCGCCCCCUCCCCGCCCCGACGUGGCUCCGGGACCCCGCGGCCGCCGAGUUCGCCAGCC